AGAGUUUGAUCCUGGCUCAGAUUGAACGCUGGCGGCAGGCCUAACACAUGCAAGUCGAGCGGUAGCACAGAGAGCUUGCUCUCGGGUGACGAGCGGCGGACGGGUGAGUAAUGUCUGGGAAACUGCCUGAUGGAGGGGGAUAACUACUGGAAACGGUAGCUAAUACCGCAUAACGUCGCAAGACCAAAGUGGGGGACCUUCGGGCCUCAUGCCAUCAGAUGUGCCCAGAUGGGAUUAGCUAGUAGGUGGGGUAACGGCUCACCUAGGCGACGAUCCCUAGCUGGUCUGAGAGGAUGACCAGCCACACUGGAACUGAGACACGGUCCAGACUCCUACGGGAGGCAGCAGUGGGGAAUAUUGCACAAUGGGCGCAAGCCUGAUGCAGCCAUGCCGCGUGUGUGAAGAAGGCCUUCGGGUUGUAAAGCACUUUCAGCGGGGAGGAAGGCGGUGAGGUUAAUAACCUCAUCGAUUGACGUUACCCGCAGAAGAAGCACCGGCUAACUCCGUGCCAGCAGCCGCGGUAAUACGGAGGGUGCAAGCGUUAAUCGGAAUUACUGGGCGUAAAGCGCACGCAGGCGGUCUGUCAAGUCGGAUGUGAAAUCCCCGGGCUCAACCUGGGAACUGCAUUCGAAACUGGCAGGCUAGAGUCUUGUAGAGGGGGGUAGAAUUCCAGGUGUAGCGGUGAAAUGCGUAGAGAUCUGGAGGAAUACCGGUGGCGAAAGGCGGCCCCCUGGACAAAGACUGACGCUCAGUGCGAAAGCGUGGGGAGCAAACAGGAUUAGAUACCCUGGUAGUCCACGCCGUAAACGAUGUCGACUUGGAGGUUGUGCCCUUGAGGCGUGGCUUCCGGAGCUAACGCGUUAAGUCGACCGCCUGGGGAGUACGGCCGCAAGGUUAAAACUCAAAUGAAUUGACGGGGGCCCGCACAAGCGGUGGAGCAUGUGGUUUAAUUCGAUGCAACGCGAAGAACCUUACCUACUCUUGACAUCCAGAGAACUUAGCAGGGAUGCUUUGGUGCCUUCGGGAACUCUGAGACAGGUGCUGCAUGGCUGUCGUCAGCUCGUGUUGUGAAAUGUUGGGUUAAGUCCCGCAACGAGCGCAACCCUUAUCCUUUGUUGCCAGCGGUUCGGCCGGGAACUCAAAGGAGACUGCCAGUGAUAAACUGGAGGAAGGUGGGGAUGACGUCAAGUCAUCAUGGCCCUUACGAGUAGGGCUACACACGUGCUACAAUGGCGCAUACAAAGAGAAGCGACCUCGCGAGAGCAAGCGGACCUCAUAAAGUGCGUCGUAGUCCGGAUUGGAGUCUGCAACUCGACUCCAUGAAGUCGGAAUCGCUAGUAAUCGUAGAUCAGAAUGCUACGGUGAAUACGUUCCCGGGCCUUGUACACACCGCCCGUCACACCAUGGGAGUGGGUUGCAAAAGAAGUAGGUAGCUUAACCUUCGGGAGGGCGCUUACCACUUUGUGAUUCAUGACUGGGGUGAAGUCGUAACAAGGUAACC
rnacentral:rRNA from 1 species